rnacentral:tRNA from 1 species
GGCUCCGUAGGUCAGGGGUUAGAGCACUAGUCUCGUAAACUGGGGAUGUUGAGUUUGAAUCUCACCAGAGCCU